GAAAGCAAACAUGAGCAGGGCCCGUGUCCUGUCCCGGGACAGCAAGGCCAAGUGUCCAUCAGCAAACAGGCCCUCCCUUGCUCCAGGAACCUGGUGUUGACUCAGUGACGAUGGGGUUUGCAGAGGCCCACGUCGCAGAGGGUGCCUUCCCCAGAGGCCCAGUGCUGAGAGGAAGCGGGGCCCAGGCUGGCCAGGCACCCACCCAGGCUGCCGGCCCCUCCCCCAGACCUUGGCCCUGCCCGGCCCAGGCACUGGGAAGGGGAGGCACAGGCCUGCCCUCAGGGCCCAACCCUUGCAGGGGCACAGGCCCCGGUGUGGCCCCUCAGCCUGCCUUCCUGCCUGGCUGGGAGUUUUCCUGUCCCCGUAUUCUGGCCUCCUAGGGCCACAGCACCCAUGCCAGGGAUGUGGAAGCUCAGAAACGAGUCUGCAGAUCACUGAGGUUGAGGCAGAGCCAGGUGGGAUCCAGCACAGGAGUCCCUGCCCCAGGAUUACAGGCACUCUCUGACUCUCCAUGUGCUGUGACCAGAUGCCUCCUUGACUCUGGUCAGCAACUGGACCAUCAAUGGCCUCUGCAGAGUGACUAUCACCUCUGGCAAACCUACAGUCAUGCCUGUCUUCCUCUUGGAAUGGAUGGACAUUUCAAGGAGCUGGAGGCAGCAGGGUUCCCCCCCCCCCCCAGUAGCCCUGGUGUCCAGCCUGGGAUGUGAGUUCCUGGGCCUGGGCCUGACCCCACCCUAUUCCUGGAUUCAUGACCAAGUUCAAGAAUGCACAUA